rnacentral:tRNA from 1 species
CCUUUCGUAGCAUAACGGUGAGAGCAUUGGCACGUAAAGCCUAUGAUCCCGGGUUCGAUUCCCGGCGAGGGUG